rnacentral:rRNA from 1 species
UAGGGAAUCUUCGGCAAUGGGGGGCAACCCUGACCGAGCAACGCCGCGUGAGUGAAGAAGGUUUUUCGGAUCGUAAAGCUCUGUUGUAAGAGAAGAACGUGUGUGAGAGUGGAAAGUUCACACAGUGACGGUAACUUACCAGAAAGGGACGGCUAACUACGUGCCAG